UUCCGACCUGCACGAAUGGCGUAACGAUGGCCACACUGUCUCCACCCGGGACUCAGCGAAGUUGAAAUGUUUGUGAAGAUGCAAUCUACCCGAGGCUAGACGGAAAGACCCCAUGCACCU
rnacentral:rRNA from 1 species